rnacentral:tRNA from 1 species
GUGGCUGCGGCUCAGUGGUAGAGCGCCUCCCUUACACGUGUGAGGCACUGGGUUCAAUUCUCAGCACCACA